GACGAACGCUGGCGGCGUGCUUAACACAUGCAAGUCGAACGGAAAGGCCCUGCUUGCAGGGUACUCGAGUGGCGAACGGGUGAGUAACACGUGGGUGAUCUGCCCUGCACUUCGGGUUAAGCCUGGGAAACUGGGUCUAAUACCGGAUAGAAGCCAGUUUUAGUGUGAUGGUUGGAAAGUUUUUUCGGUGUUGGAUGAGCUGGCGGCCUAUUAGCUUGUUGGUGGGGUAAUGGCCUACCAAGGCGGCGACGGGUAGCCGGACUGAGAGGGUGGACGGCCACAUAGAGACUGAGGGGCGGCACAGGCUCCGACGGGAGGCAGCAGGGGGGAAUACUGCACAAGGGGCGCAGGGCUGAUGCAGCGGCGCCGCGGGGGGGAAGACGGCCUUCGGGUUGUAAACACGUUUCGCGAGAGACGAAGCUUUUUGUGACGGUACCUAGAGAAGAAGCACCGGCUAACUACGUG
rnacentral:rRNA from 1 species